UAUACUGUCCACCGAUACCCCACCCCCACCCCCACCGUCCUCCGGGACUCAGCUUCUCCCCAGACCUGGAAGAUACCGGUCAUGGGGCCGCGAACCCUCCUCCUGCUGCUCUCUAGGGUUCUGGUACUGACCGAGACGUGGGCCGGCUCCCACUCCCUGGGCUAUUUCGGCACCUGCGUGUCCCGGCCCGGCCUCGGGGAGCCGCGUUUCUUUGCCGUCGGCUACAUGGACGACACACAGUUCGCGCGGUUCGACAGCGACGCCCCGAAUCCGAGAAUGGAGCCGCGGGCGCCGUGGAUGGAGCAGGAGGGGCCAGAAUAUUGGGAAGAGGUGACACGAGAUGCCAUGGAAAGUCAACAGAGAUCCCGAUCAGGCUUGAACACCCUUCGCGGCUACUACAACCAGAGCGAGGCCGGGUCUCACACCCUCCAGUGGAUAUUUGGCUGCGACGUGGGGCCGGACCGGCGCCUGCUCCGCGGGUUCUGGCAGUUCGCCUACGACGGCAGAGAUUACAUCGCCCUGAACGAAGACCUGCGCUCCUGGACCGCGGCGGACACGGUGGCUCAGAUCACCAGGCGCAACUGGGAAAUCUCCGGUGAGGCAGACUUCCAACGGAACUACCUGGAGGUCAAGUGCGUGCAGUGGCUCCUCAGCCACCUGGAGACCGGAAAGGACACGCUGCUGCGCGCAGACCCUCCAAAGACACAUAUGGCCCAUCACCCCAUCUCUGACCGUGAGGUCACCCUGAGGUGCUGGGCCCUGGGCUUCUACCCUGAGGAGAUCUCACUGACCUGGCAGCGUGACGGGGAGGACCAGACUCAGGACAUGGAGCUUGUGGAGACCAGGCCUUCAGGGGAUGGAACCUUCCAGAAGUGGGCAGCCCUGGUGGUGCCUUCUGGAGAGGAGCAGAGAUACACGUGCCGUGUGCAGCACGAGGGGCUUCAGGAGCCCCUCACCCUGAGAUGGGAACCUCCUCAGCCCUCCAUCCCCAUCAUGGAAAUCAUUCUUGGCCUGGUUCUCCUCAUGGUCACUGGAGCUGUGGUGACCGGAGCUGUGAUUUGGAGGAAGAAGCACUCAGAUAGGGAAAGGAAUGAGGGAUCUCAGUUUUCUUCUCUCACUGGGCAGGUUUCUGGCCCAGGUGGAAGUUUGCCUGCCUCGCUACUGGAAAGUAGCUCCACACACUUGUGGAAUCUGAGCUGAUGCUAAGACUGACUCUUUUGUAAAGUACAUGUGAAAAUGAAAGACACAUUUUUCAUCUUCAUAAUUCCAGUUGGGGACUUGUUUCUCAGCAUUUGAAGGUCAGGAGGGAAUGUCCCUGCUGAGGACAGACCUCCAGGAGGGCAGCUGGUCCAGUCCCCCCAUGCCUCCUUUCUUCAUGUUCCUGAGCCUGUCCUGGAUUUUUGGUCACAGUUCUGAAAAGUUCUUUGUCAUCCAGGACUGGGGAGUUCCUCUAGGAUCUCAUGACUCAGUCUUCUCCCUGGUCUCUCACGUGAUACUUUUUUCUCACAAGUGAAAAAGGAAGGGGCUACACCCAGACUGCAAGCAAUGAGAGUGCCCAGGGCUCUGAUGUGUCUCUCACGGUUCCUAAAGUGUGAGACAGCUGCCUUGUUUGGACUGAGUGAUGCUUGGUUCCACUUUGUUACGUCAGAUCUCCAGACCUGCAGCUGCAUCUGAAUGUGCCUGUGCUCCUAUUAGCGUAACGUGAGGAGGUGGGGAGACUGCCCACCGCUCCCCCUCCCCUCCCUGACCUGUGUUCUCUUCCCUCAUGCACAUUCCUGUUUCAGCAGAGACAGAACUGGACCCUCUCUAUCGCUGUCUUUUCUGCACAUGUCUUUACUCCACUGAGUAAAGAUGUCUUAUUUGUCUAUUGGCAAUAAAAUCUAUCUUGAAUUA